rnacentral:rRNA from 1 species
CCUACGGGUGGCAGCAGUGGGGAAUAUUGCACAAUGGGGGAAACCCUGAUGCAGCGACGCCGCGUGAGUGAAGAAGUAAUUCGUUACGUAAAGCUCUAUCAGCAGGGAAGAAACACUGACUUUACGGUCAGCAGACGGUACCUGAGUAAGAAGCCCCGGCUAACUACGUGCCAGCAGCCGCGGUAAUACGUAGGGGGCAUGCGUUUUCCGGAUUUACAGGGUGUAAAGGGAGCGUAGACGGUUCGCCAAGUCUGGAGGGAAAUGCCGCAGCUUAACUGCGGAACUGCGUUGGAAACUGGCGAACUAGAGUGCGGGAGGGGUAAGCGGAAUUCCUAGUGUAGCGGUGAAAUGCGUAGAUAUUAGGAGGAACACCGGUGGCGAAGGCGGCUUACUGGACCGUAACUGACGUUGAGGCUCGAAAGCGUGGGGAGCAAACAGGAUUAGAUACCCCCGUAGUC